rnacentral:rRNA from 1 species
UACGAAGGGGGCUAGCGUUGCUCGGAAUUACUGGGCGUAAAGCGCACGUAGGCGGCUCUUUAAGUCGGGGGUGAAAUCCUGGAGCUCAACUCCAGAACUGCCUUUGAUACUGAAGAUCUUGAGUUCGGGAGAGGUGAGUGGAACUGCAAGUGUAGAGGUGAAAUUCGUAGAUAUUCGCAAGAACACCAGUGGCGAAGGCGGCUCACUGGCCCGAUACUGACGCUGAGGCACGAAAGCGUGGGGAGCAAACAGG